CCACCACCACCACCACCACCACCUUUCAGUUCUUCUAAAGGUCCCAGUCCCCCUCCAGUUCCUCCACCUCCUCCUCUUCCUUCAAUAUCUAACCCAUCAUUGUCGCCACCACCACGGCCACCACCGCCACCGCCACCACCAGUUAAAAAUUGGGAUAGUCCAAAAACUCCAACACCACCAAUUUCAAAGCCACUAUCUAGACCUCCAGUUCUUGUAACUCCUUUAAGACCCAUAGAACUUGAUAGUCCAGUGCUGAUUUCCCCAAUGGAGUUGCCUUGUAAUAAGCAAACCAUUGAGAAGAAUGAGCAGAGUAUAGAAGGCUUAUCGAGUGAUUCUGGUGGGAACAAUGAGGAAACUCCAAAACCAAAGUUGAAGACUUUGCAUUGGGAUAAAGUAAGAGCUAGUUCUGAUCGGGAAAUGGUGUGGGAUCAACUGAAAUCAAGUUCAUUUAAAUUGGAUGAGGAGAUGAUAGAAAGCUUGUUUAUUGUGAAGAACCCAACUCUAAAUCCAAAAGAAAUGACUAGACGCCCUCUUCUUCCCUCGCAGAGCCAAGAGAAUAGGGUACUUGAUCCAAAGAAGUCACAAAAUAUUGCAAUUUUGCUAAGAGCACUAAAUGUAACUGUUGAGGAAGUAUGUGAAGCCCUUUUAGAAGGAAAUGCUGAUGCCCUAGGGACUGAGCUCCUUGAGAGUUUAUUGAAGAUGGCUCCAUCCAAAGAAGAAGAAUGCAAGCUGAAAGACUAUAAAGAUGAUACUCCGUUUAAGCUUGGGUCAGCCGAGAAGUUUCUCAAGGCAGUGCUUGAUAUACCUUUUUCAUUCAAAAGGGUAGAUGCUAUGCUGUACAUAUCAAAUUUUGAUUCUGAGGUUGACUACCUCAAAAAGUCAUUUGAAACUCUGGAGGCUGCUUGUGAAGAGUUGAGAAGCAAUAGAAUGUUCUUAAAGCUUCUGGAAGCAGUUCUGAAGACCGGUAACCGCAUGAAUGUUGGGACAAAUCGGGGUGAUGCACAUGCGUUCAAACUAGAUACCCUUCUAAAGCUUGUAGAUGUGAAGGGAGCUGAUGGGAAAACAACCCUCUUGCAUUUUGUGGUACAGGAGAUCAUAAGAAGUGAAGGUGCUCGUCUUUCUGGGGGAGAUCAAGAUCAACAGUCGGCCAUGAACGAUGACUUCAAGUGCCGGAAGCUUGGCCUCCAAGUUGUUUCGAACCUUAGUUCAGAGGUUGUAAAUGUUAAGAAAGCUGCUGCUAUGGAUUCAGAAGUGCUUCAUAGUGAGGUGUUAAAACUUUCUAAAGGGAUUGGAAACAUUGCUGAAGUUGUCCGAUCAAUUGAAGCAGUUGGCUUGAAGGAAAGCAGCAUAGAAAGAUUUUCGGAGUCCAUGAGAAGGUUUAUGAAAAUGGCAGAAGAUGAGAUCAUAGGGCUCCAAGCUCUAGAAAGUGUUGCCAUGUCGUUGGUGAAAGAAAUAACUGAAUACUUCCAUGGAAAUUCAGCGAGAGAAGAGGCUCACCCUUUUAGGAUCUUUAUGGUGGUAAGAGACUUCCUAAUGGUUCUUGAUCGCGUUUGCAAAGAAGUUGGAAUGAUAAAUGAACGUACAGUAGUCAGUUCUGCCCACAAGUUUCCAGUU
rnacentral:misc_RNA from 1 species